rnacentral:rRNA from 1 species
AUGCAGUCGAACGGCAGCACGGAGCUUGCUCUGGUGGCGAGUGGCGAACGGGUGAGUAAUAUAUCGGAACGUACCCUAGAGUGGGGGAUAACGUAGCGAAAGUUACGCUAAUACCGCAUACGAUCUAAGGAUGAAAGUGGGGGAUCGCAAGACCUCAUGCUCGUGGAGCGGCCGAUAUCUGAUUAGCUAGUUGGUAGGGUAAAAGCCUACCAAGGCAUCGAUCAGUAGCUGGUCUGAGAGGACGACCAGCCACACUGGAACUGAGACACGGUCCAGACUCCUACGGGAGGCAGCAGUGGGGAAUUUUGGACAAUGGGCGAAAGCCUGAUCCAGCAAUGCCGCGUGAGUGAAGAAGGCCUUCGGGUUGUAAAGCUCUUUUGUCAGGGAAGAAACGGUGAGAGCUAAUAUCUCUUGCUAAUGACGGUACCUGAAGAAUAAGCACCGGCUAACUACGUGCCAGCAGCCGCGGUAAUACGUAGGGUGCAAGCGUUAAUCGGAAUUACUGGGCGUAAAGCGUGCGCAGGCGGUUUUGUAAGUCUGAUGUGAAAUCCCCGGGCUCAACCUGGGAAUUGCAUUGGAGACUGCAAGGCUAGAAUCUGGCAGAGGGGGGUAGAAUUCCACGUGUAGCAGUGAAAUGCGUAGAUAUGUGGAGGAACACCGAUGGCGAAGGCAGCCCCCUGGGUCAAGAUUGACGCUCAUGCACGAAAGCGUGGGGAGCAAACAGGAUUAGAUACCCUGGUAGUCCACGCCCUAAACGAUGUCUACUAGUUGUCGGGUCUUAAUUGACUUGGUAACGCAGC